UCUUUUCUCCCGAUUAUGUUUAUAUUCUUCCCAAACUGAGCCUCGUAGCUUUGUUGGAGAUUUAGGGUAUAUUUGGUUUGCAGGAAUAGAGGUCCGGAAUCGGAAUCUCCCAGCGUUUGGUUAGGUGAAAACGGAAUCCGAUUUCCAUUUCCCGACCCAUCCCCCCCGGAAUCAGAAUCCCAUCCCCGCUAUUUAAUAUAAGAAAAAAUCAAAAUGACAAAAAAAACCCCUCAAAUCUCUCCCUACCCGAUUCCAACUUUCUAAUCCUCAUUCCCCUUGCUCUUGUCACUCCCUCUAUAGGCAGCUGAAGUUUGAAGUAUUGAUCUGAGCUGAAACUCCGGCAACAGUGACGAUGAGACCAGACCAAACCACAGCAAGGUGCACCAGCAAGGACAGUGGGGUGGCAUACACAAGUUUUCUAAAGGACCUGUGGCCCAAUUCAGUAAUAUUUGUACCAAUAAAGAAAGUCAUACUAUCAAGAUCCCUUGAAUGGAACCAUCCAUGUAGUUGUUGGGGGAGGAGGUGCUAGCCUUGCAGAAUUCACAACAAUACAUACUAGAUGGAGUUAUUACAAGGACCAGGACUUUGGAUUCAUAAAGCUUACAACAUUUGGCCAUGCAAAUCUGUUGUUUGAGUACAAGAAGAGCAGUGAUGGGAAGGUCUAUGACUCCUUUAGAAUCUCACGAGAUUAUAGGGACAUUAUGGCUUGCAGUGUUGACACUUGCCCAAGCAUGACAUUAGCUUCUUGAAGAGAAUACACUUGGGGUAUCUAUGUAAAUUUUUACUCGUUCCAGUGGUAAAUUGUCACAUGUCGUUCAUGUUC